ensembl:lncRNA
GUGUGUGUGUGUGGUUUAGUGUGUAGGUGUGGUUUAGUGUGUGUGUGAGGUGUGGUUUAGUGUGUGAGGUGUGGUUUAGUGUGUGUGUAGGUGUGGUUUAGUGUGUGUGUGUGUGUGGUUUAGUGUGUGUGUGUGGUUUAGUGUGUAGGUGUGGUUUAGUGUGUAGGUGUGGUUUAGUGUGUGUGUGUGGUUUAGUGUGUGUGUGUGGUUUAGUGUGUGUGUGUGGUUUAGUGUGUGUGUGUGUGGUUUAGUGUGUGUGUGUGGUUUAGUGUGUAGGUGUGGUUUAGUGUGUAGGUGUGGUUUAGUGUGUGUGUGUGGUGUGGUUUAGUGUGUGUGUGUGGUGUGGUUUAGUGUGUAGGUGUGGUUUAGUGUGUGUGUGUGGUUUAGUGUGUGUGUGUGGUUUAGUGUGUGUGUGUGUAGGGUUAGGGUU